rnacentral:rRNA from 1 species
AACGAACGCUGGCGGCAUGCCUAACACAUGCAAGUCGAACGAGACCUUCGGGUCUAGUGGCGCACGGGUGCGUAACGCGUGGGAACCUGCCCUUAGGUUCGGAAUAACUCCCCGAAAGGGGUGCUAAUACCGGAUAAUGUCUUCGGACCAAAGAUUUAUCGCCUUUGGAUGGGCCCGCGUUGGAUUCGCUAGUUGGUAGGGUAAAAGCCUACCAAGGCGACGAUCCAUAGCUGGUCUGAGAGGAUGAUCAGCCACACUGGGACUGAGACACGGCCCAGACUCCUACGGGAGGCAGCAGUGGGGAAUAUUGGACAAUGGGCGAAAGCCUGAUCCAGCAAUGCCGCGUGAGAGAUGAAGGCCUUAGGGUUGUAAAGCUCUUUUACCCGGGAUGAUAAUGACAGUACCGGGAGAAUAAGCUCCGGCUAACUCCGUG